rnacentral:rRNA from 1 species
UACGAAGGGGGCUAGCGUUGUUCGGAUUUACUGGGCGUAAAGCGCACGUAGGCGGCUCUUUAAGUCGGUGGUGAAAUCCUGGAGCUCAACUCCAGAACUGCCUUCGAUACUGAAGAGCUCGAGUCCGGGAGAGGUGAGUGGAACUGCGAGUGUAGAGGUGAAAUUCGUAGAUAUUCGCAAGAACACCAGUGGCGAAGGCGGCUCACUGGCCCGGUACUGACGCUGAGGUGCGAAAAGCGUGGGGAGCAAACAGG